UUAGGAAUCUUCCACAAUGGGCGAAAGCCUGAUGGAGCGACGCCGCGUGAAGGACGAAGGCCCUAGGGUCGUAAACUUCUAAAAGAGGGACGAUAAUGACGGUACCUCUUGAAAAGCACCGGCUAACUCCGUGCCAGCAGCCGCGGUAAUACGGAGGGUGCUAGCGUUAUCCGGAAUCACUGGGCGUAAAGGGCGCGUAGGCGGUCUGUUAAGUCCGAUGUUAAAGACUGGGGCUCAACCCCGGCAUUGCGUUGGAUACUGGCAGGCUUGACGGUUGGAGAGGCGAGUGGAAUUACCAGUGUAGCGGUGGAAUGCGUAGAUACUGGUAGGAACACCCAUUGCGAAGGCAGCUCGCUGGACAACUCGUGACGCUGAGGCGCGAAAGUGUGGGGAGCAAACCG
rnacentral:rRNA from 1 species